rnacentral:misc_RNA from 1 species
UCUCCGUAGGUGAACCUGCGGAGGGAUCAUUACAGAGUUCAUGCCCUAACGGGUAGAUCUCCCACCCUAUGUUAUCAUCACUUUGUUGCUUUGGCGGGCCGUCAGGCCUCGGCUUGGCUACCGGCCCUCGCUGGUAAGCGCCCGCCAGAGAACCCCAAACCCCGAAUAUCAGUGUCGUCUGAGUACUAUAUAAUAGUUAAAACUUUCAACAACGGAUCUCUUGGUUCUG